rnacentral:lncRNA from 1 species
CACCGAACCCACCGAGCGUGACAAGAUCAUCGCGGUGCUCCGACACGCCGACCCGAUCCUCGAUCCACGCGAUUCGUUUCAUUUCAUCCGCGUCGCAUCUGCAGAAAUCAAAUCUACGAGCCUCACGUGUGAAAGUUCGCAGAAAAUAUUCCCGAAAAAUCAUCAGGGUUACAAAGCGAAGAAAAGUGGAAUCGAUGCGACGCUGUCCCCAGAUUCAGUUGAACGCGAAAGGGCUGGUACACGUAUAAUGCAGCGAUGGAAUAUAACGAGGGAGGGCGAAUUACGGACGAAUAACGGAGGUCUGUGAGUCGUGCGUCGCAUUGGUCCUGCAGGAGGUUCGGGUUUGUUUAUCAGGCGCAUGGAUCUACCCGUAAUUAUUGCCCACUGCAGAGAGGGCAACAAUGCCCGGCACGUGUCCAGCUGAGCUUUGUCCCGUUCGACACGCGGACUAUACUGUAUCUAUAUCCACUACACGGAGAAUCGCUACCCAAGGGGCCAGCGGCCAGGUCGACUUCCGAAAGAUUUACGAGCUCCUCUUUUGCCGCAGCUCUCGUCCGACUCCACCGUUUAUAUACCGUUCGACCCACGGUAAACCAUCUGGCGUCAGCGCAUGUCGUGUACUUGUACGUAUACCAUACUAUACUUCGGGGGUGAAGAUGAAACGAAAUACUCUCGGAGACGCUAAUUGUCCAUCUCCAUUCCGGAAGGGAGAAAUUCUUUGACUCUUGGGUCACCGUUCGUAAUACCUACGUCGAGAUAUAGUUUUGGGUAGUGGGCAACACCUUUUACUACCUGUUGCCGAGCUAUCUCGCUGUCUGUAGGUCGCCUCAAUUCGCUACCAGCUAAAUUAUCCGUGAGGUCCGUUCAGAAGCAGGUGAUAUGAAUAACAAGGUACCUACCUCACUCUCGCGGCUGAGUCUUCUGAACAAUUCGUCGGUUUCGAAUUUAGUCUUUUGUUCCGGAAC